AUUGAACGCUGGCGGCAGGCCUAACACAUGCAAGUCGAACGAGUGGCGGACGGGUGAGUAAUGUCUGGUAAACUGCCUGAUGGAGGGGGAUCACCACUGGAAACGGUAGCUAAUACCGCAUACCCUCGGAUGUGCCCAUAUGGGAUUAGCUGGUCGGUGGGGUAAAGGCUCACCUAGGCGACGAUCCGUAGCUGGUCUGAGAGGAUGACCGGCCACAUUGGAACUGAGACACGGUCCAGACGCCUACGGGAGGCAGCAGUGGGGAAUAUUGCACAAUGGGCGAAAGCCUGAUGCAGCCAUGCCGCGUGAAUGAUGAAGGCCUUCGGGUUGUAAAGUACUUUUAGUGGGGAGGCGUUACCCGCAGAAGAAGCACCGGCCAACUCCGUGCCAGCAGGCGCGGUAAUAC
rnacentral:rRNA from 1 species